rnacentral:rRNA from 2 species
UACGGGGGGAGCAAGCGUUGUUCGGAUUUACUGGGCGUAAAGGGCGCGUAGGCGGUCAGCACAAGUCAGUUGUGAAAUCUCCGGGCUUAACUCGGAAAGGUCAACUGAUACUGUGCGACUAGAGUGCGGAAGGGGCAACUGGAAUUCUCGGUGUAGCGGUGAAAUGCGUAGAUAUCGUGAGGAAUACCAGAGGCGAAGGCGGCUACCUGGACAAUUGCUGACGCUCAGGCACGAAAGCGUGGGGAGCAAAAGGG